AGUGAACGCUGGCGGCGUGCUUAACACAUGCAAGUCGAACGAGAACGGAUUAUAGCUUGCUAUAAUUGUCAGCUAAGUGGCGCACGGGUGAGUAAUGUAUAGGUAAUAUGCCUUUUACUAAGGAAUAACAAAUGGAAACGUUUGCUAAUACCUUAUACUCCUUAUUAACCUAAGUUAAUAAGGGAAAGAUUUAUUGGUAAGAGAUUAGCCUGUAUUGUAUCAGUUAGUUGUUGGGGUAAUGGCUUACCAAGACUAUGACACAUAACUGGUUUGCACGGAUGAUCAGUCAAACGGGAACUGAGACACGGUCCAGACUCCUACGGGAGGCAGCAGUGGGGAAUAUUGCACAAUGGACGAAAGUCUGAUGCAGCAACGCCGCGUGGAGGAUGACACAUUUCGGUGCGUAAACUCCUUUUAUAUGAGAAGAUAAUGACGGUAUUAUAUGAAUAAGCACCGGCUAGCUCCGUGCCAGCCGCCGCAGUAA
rnacentral:rRNA from 1 species